rnacentral:tmRNA from 1 species
GGGGAUGUAAAGGUUUCGACAGGGGUUUAGAAUUAGUAUAAGCGAGCCGUGUUUUCUUUCCUGGGGUACACGUAAAAGAACUGGGAUACUAAAUUAAACGCUAAAAAUAAUAACUUAGCUUUCGCAGCGUAAUUGCCGCGACCCACUCCUAAAUAGCCUUUCUCUAUUGCCGCUAUAGGACUGGAUACUUUUGCAAUGGACAAACCAAGAGGGUGUUAUGACUUUUGGGGGUACUAAUCGUAACUGGUUUACUAUUAUCGUUUGUUUGGGUACCUUAUAGUAAAUAAGAUUUGAUCUCAAGCUGCGCUCGGAGAAAGUACUUUGGAAAAACUUUUGGACAUGGGUUCAAUUCCCAUCAUCUCCACCA